CAACUGAAGGAAGACUUCGCCCGGACUCCUAUGGGAGUCGGACUUCAUCCUCGACUUCAGUCGAAGGAAGACUUCGCCCAGACUCCUAUGGGAGCCGGACUUCGUCCUCGACUUCAGUCGAAGGAAGACUUCGCCCGGACUCCUACGGGAGCCGAACUUCGUCCUCGACUUCAACUGAAGGAAGACUUCGCCCGGACUCCUACGGGAGCCGGACUUCAUCCUCGACUUCAACUGAAGGAAGAUUUCAUCCGGACUCCUACAGGAGCUGGACUUCAUCCCCGACUGCAAU
rnacentral:lncRNA from 1 species